GAUGAACGCUGGCGGCGUGCCUAAUACAUGCAAGUCGAGCGAACAGACGAGGAGCUUGCUCCUCUGACGUUAGCGGCGGACGGGUGAGUAACACGUGGAUAACCUACCUAUAAGACUGGGAUAACUUCGGGAAACCGGAGCUAAUACCGGAUAAUAUAUUGAACCGCAUGGUUCAAUAGUGAAAGACGGUUUUGCUGUCACUUAUAGAUGGAUCCGCGCCGCAUUAGCUAGUUGGUAAGGUAACGGCUUACCAAGGCAACGAUGCGUAGCCGACCUGAGAGGGUGAUCGGCCACACUGGAACUGAGACACGGUCCAGACGCCUACGGGAGGCAGCAGUAGGGAAUCUUCCGCAAUGGGCGAAAGCCUGACGGAGAGACGCCGCGUGAGUGAUGACGGUCUUCGGAUCGUAAAACUCUGUUAUUAGGGAAGAACAAAUGUGUAAGUAACUAUGCACGUCUUGACGGUACCUAAUCAGAAAGCCACGGCUAACUACGUG
rnacentral:rRNA from 1 species